rnacentral:lncRNA from 1 species
AGCUGACCUUCUAGAGUCGAGUCAGGUUCCAGUUGACCCUCCAGAGUCGAGUCAGGUUCCUGUUGACCCUCCAGAGUCGAGUCAGGUUCCAGUGAACUCUCCAGAGUCGAGUCAGGUUCCAGUUGACCCUCCAGAGUCGAGUCAGGUUCCAGUGAACUCUCCAGAGUCGAGUCAGGUUCCAGUUGACCCUCCAGAGUCGAGUCAGGUUCCAGUGAACUCUCCAGAGUCGAGUCAGGUUCCUGUUGACCCUCCAGAGUCGAGUCAGGUUCCAGUGAACUCUCCAGAGUCGAGUCAGGUUCCAGUGAACUCUUCAGAGUCGAGUCAGGUUCCAGUGAACUCUCCAGAGUCGAGUCAGGUUCCAAUUGACCCUCCAGAGUCGAGUCAGGUUCCAGUGAACUCUCCAGAGUCGAGUCAGGUUCCAGUGAACUCUCCAGAGUCAAGUCAGGUUCCAGUGAACUCUCCACAGUCGAGUCAGGUGUUCGUGGACCCUUCAGAGUCAGGGCUAGUCACCGAUGACCCUCCAGAUUCAGGGCUAGUCACCGAUGACCCUCCAGAGUCAGGGCUAGUCACCGAUGACCUUCCAGAGUCCGGGCUAGUCACCGCUGACCUUCCAGAGUCAGGACUAGUCACCGAUGACCUUCCAGAGCUAGGGCUAGGUACCAUGGACUUUCCAGAGAGAAGACUAGUCACCAUUGACCUUUCAGAGUCAAGUCAAGUCACCUGUGAUUUUCAAGUCAAGUCCUUCGGCCUCGACCACAAGGAUGUGGUGGUCUUCUGCUCCACCCUGGGGUACUUCCACUUUGACCACAAGGAUGUGGUGGUCUUCUGCUCCGCCCUGGAGGACUCCGACCUCGACCACAAGGAGGUGGUGGUCUUCUGUUCCGCCCUGGGGGACAUCCGUCCCGACCAUACGGUUGUGGUGGUGUUCUGCUCCGCCCUGGGGAGCGUCCGCCCUGACCACACGGUUGUGGUGGUCUUCUGCUCCGCACUGUCCACACCGUUGUGGUGGUCUUCUGCUCCACCAUGGGGGGCUUCCGCCCUGACCAAACGGUUGUGGUGGUCUUCUGCUCCGCCCUGGUGUGCGCCACGUGAUGUCCUUCAUGGACUUCAUGGUUUGUGUUUUUUGUUUUAUGUUGUAUUUUCUGUUGGUUCCCCUCUGUUAGCCUGGCCUUACGUCCCUCCCCCUGAGCCUCCACCUGUCCGCCUCCCUCCUGGUGUCUGUUUUGUGUCUUGUCGUGGAGCGUCUGUGAGCCACUUCGUAGAGGAGGGUAUUGUCACAGUGUCUGGGUUGUGUUCCCUGGGAAUCCACUAGAUGUCAUCCUUCCCCACGGUGUCUGUCACUUUAUGA